CCGCAGGAGGCGCGGCGCAGCGGCCGCCUCGCCCGGCGUAAAGAUGGCGGCGGUUUUAAAGAGACACGCACGCCGAAAAGGGGAGGCGCCGCAGCCCCCUGGGACGUGGCGGGGUCCCCCUGCGCCCCCCACAUGGCCCCCACGCCCUGAGCCCCCCCGGCGCCGCGCGGGCACAUGAGGAAGAGCCGGAGCGACCUGGCCAGGCCCGAGGAGCAGCCCCCGCCGGACCCCGGGUGCUGCAGCCGCUCCCCCCCCUCCCUGGCGAUGUUGGGUGCCGACCUGCACCGCGGGUGCCGGCGCCCCUCUGCCAGCCUCCAGGUGCCCCCCUGGAAGCCCCCGGCGCGGCCGCGCUCACCGGAGCCCAGCGGCCUCCCGCGCCCCACCACGCUGCCCCUCCGCGCCCCGCCGCGCAUCGCCGGCACCCACCCCGAGCCCCCCAGGUAGGGACGGGCUUGGGGCGGGGGGGACGUGUGGCACGAGGGUGUCACCAUGGCAGUGGGGGUCACGGUGGUGUUGGGGACCCCCCAGCUCUCCAGGCACUGAGCCGAGGGGGGGACACGUGGCACGAGGGUGUCACCACAGCAGUGGGGGUCCCAGUGGCAUCAGGGACCCCCCAGCUUUCCAGGUGCUGAAGGGGGACGCACACGUGUGGCACGAGGGUGUCACCAUGGCGGUGAGGGUCGGGGUGGCAUUGGGGACCCCCCAGUUUUCCAGGCACUGAGCCAGGGGGGGCCACGUGGCACGAGGGUGUCACCGCAGUGGCGGGGGUCCCAAUGGCACUGGGGACCCCCCAGCUCUCCAGGUGCUGAAGGGGGGGACACGUGGCACGAGGGUGUCACCGCAGUGGUGUGGGUCCCGGUGGCAUCGGGGGGACCCCGGC